rnacentral:miRNA from 1 species
AGGUAGGAUUGAGAGGGAAGAUGGGAGCAGUAAUAAAAGUGAAAAUGAAAACUAAAAACUGAAAUCUAUUUGAAAUUGUUUGCACUCAACACUUUUGUUACUCCUCCCUCCCAUCUCCGCCUGCCAC